UGGGGAAUAUUGGACAAUGGGCGAAAGCCUGAUCCAGCCAUGCCGCGUGUGUGAAGAAGGUCUUCGGAUUGUAAAGCACUUUAAGUUGGGAGGAAGGGCAGUAAGCGAAUACCUUGCUGUUUUGACGUUACCGACAGAAUAAGCACCGGCUAACUCUGUGCCAGCAGCCUCGGUAAUACAGAGGGUGCAAGCGUUAAUCUGAAUUAUUGGGCGUAAAGCGCGCGUAGGUGGUUCGUUAAGUUGAAUGUGAAAGCCCCGGGCUCAACCUGGGAACGGCAUCCAAAACUGGCGAGCUAGAGUAGGGCAGAGGGUGGUGGAAUUUCCUGUGUAGCGGUGAAAUGCGUAGAUAUAGGAAGGAACAACAGUGGCGAAGGCGACCACCUGGGCUCAUACUGACACUGAGGUGCGAAAGCGUGGGGAGCAAACAGG
rnacentral:rRNA from 1 species